ensembl:lncRNA
GAGAGACCCGAGGCGGGGCCGGUCCGAGUAUCAGGUGAACUGAACUUCAGGGCAGGUGAUAGCAUGCAGGUGAUCUAUUGGACUUUUUCACUGAAAACCCACCUGCUGUGGCUGGAAGCAACCUGGAUGAAAUGAUACCAAAGCUAAAUAUAGAAAUGCAGUAAAUGGAGCAGUAUCCAGGCAACCACAAGUGGGUUAAUCCUCACCUAUUCCAGGAACUCACCUGGUACAGAAAUAAUAACUGAGGAGGUGGGUGGAGGAGAUCUGGGUGUCUCUUCAUAGCGGUCAUGGUCCGUGAGAGUUCCUGGGAGUUUCCAUCUGUGGCUGCUGGUCCCUUUGGGGUGGAGCCUUCCACAUCUCACCUGGACCGUGUUUGCAUGCAGUCAGCAGGAGGGCUCUUAAACCCUGAGCAGUCUACUAUGCCUCGCCAACUCAUUGUGUGCCCUCUGGUG